rnacentral:rRNA from 1 species
GACGAACGCUGGCGGCGUGCUUAACACAUGCAAGUCGAACGGAAAGGCCCUGCUUUUGUGGGGUGCUCGAGUGGCGAACGGGUGAGUAACACGUGAGUAACCUGCCCUUGACUUUGGGAUAACUUCAGGAAACUGGGGCUAAUACCGGAUAGGAGCUCCUGCUGCAUGGUGGGGGUUGGAAAGUUUCGGCGGUUGGGGAUGGACUCGCGGCUUAUCAGCUUGUUGGUGGGGUAGUGGCUUACCAAGGCUUUGACGGGUAGCCGGCCUGAGAGGGUGACCGGCCACAUUGGGCCUGAGAUACGGCCCAGACUCCUACGGUAGGCAGCGGUGGGGAAUAUUGCACAAUGGGCGGAAGCCUGAUGCAGCAACGCCGCGUGCGGGAUGACGGCCUUCGGGUUGUAAACCGCUUUCGCCUGUGACGAAGCGUGAGUGACGGUAAUGGGUAAAGAAGCACCGGCUAACUACGUG